rnacentral:piRNA from 1 species
UUACAGGAAUCAACGGUGGGACCGUGCUUGU